CAAACGUCUCCUUCACAGCGUUGCAAACGUCUGACUGAAAUCAUUCUACCCUCUUAAAGGGUAUAAUAAGAAAGAAACACAACCUAGUGACGAGCACACCGUUAACAUACAAAAGUUCUAAUAUAAUAAUUUGUAACGAAAAAUAAUGGUACAUUAAAAAAAAAAACAAUGUCUUACACCUUCUUCGUGUCGAUCCGUCGCUUUUCUUCGCAACCACUACCGGGCUCGUAAAUUCGGAGUCGGAAUCCUCGCCCUGCAGUUCCACAAUUCAGCUUAACCGCUCAAUCAGCAAGAAGUCGCCGAAAACGAAAAAAAAAAUUUCCCCUCUCUCCACUCUUGCAACGUGUCCGCAAAAAAAUGCGUGUGAAGGCAAAAGGGCCCACAUUUUAAAAUAUCUGGACUUUUGUGCCACCAUGCAUUUUAAAUAUUGUAAAAUUUUUUCGUAAAUAUAAAUAAAAAAAAACAAUUUAAGUUGUUUAUUUGACUUCGAAUGUAUCUCUUUUUAGUUAAUAAAAUAAUCAUUAUAAUUUAUUAUUAAGUGAA